CAGCAGCCGCGGUAAUACAGAGGGUGCAAGCGUUAAUCGGAAUUACUGGGCGUAAAGCGCGCGUAGGUGGUUUGUUAAGUUGGAUGUGAAAUCCCCGGGCUCAACCUGGGAACUGCAUCCAAAACUGGCAGGCUAGAGUAGGGCAGAGGGUGGUGGAAUUUCCUGUGUAGCGGUGAAAUGCGUAGAUAUAGGAAGGAACACCAGUGGCGAAGGCGACCACCUGGUCUCAUACUGACACUGAGGUGCGAAAGCGUGGGGAGCAAACAGGAUUAGAUACCCCCGUAGUCCCUGUCUCUUAUAC
rnacentral:rRNA from 1 species